AUUUUGAGAAAUAGACCUACCUGGGAAGCCCACAUCUGCAUCAAAAUAAGGAACAUUUCCAAUUUCCCUGGAAGUUCCUUUGUGCUUUCCCAGUAAUCCUUCCAGCCAUGGAGGCACCCUUGGUGCACAGAUAUCAAAACCGAAGCCGUGUGUUCAGAUACAGUAUAUGAGUGAGUUCACGUAGCCACACUGCUGUCAUCAUGGACAGGCUAUCUGACAUUCCUUACCCCUCCUAACCCCAGGGGCAGCCUGACUCCAUUUUGU